rnacentral:rRNA from 1 species
AGAAUCAACGCUGGCGGCGUACCUAACACAUGCAAGUCGAACGAGAAAGGGGAGCAAUCCCUGAGUAAAGUGGCGCACGGGUGAGUAACACGUGACUAACCUACCCUGGAGUGGGGGAUAACUGAGGGAAACCUUAGCUAAUACCGCAUAACACCUACGGGUCAAAGGAGCAAUUCGCUUUGGGAGGGGGUCGCGGCCGAUUAGUUAGUUGGCGGGGUAAUGGCCCACCAAGACAGUGAUCGGUAUCCGGCCUGAGAGGGCGCACGGACACACUGGAACUGAAACACGGUCCAGACUCCUACGGGAGGCAGCAGUGGGGAAUUUUGCGCAUGGGGGAAACCCUGACGCAGCAACGCCGCGUGGAGGAUGAAGUACUUCGGUACGUAAACUCCUUUCGAUCGGGACGAUAAUGACGGUACCGGAAGAAGAAGCCCGGCUAACUUCGUGCCAGCAGCCGC